AAAAAAAAAGAGUGUGUCCCGUUGGUGUCCCAUCCCUGACUUCUGCCUUCCCGCUGCCUCUCUGCCCCACUGCGUCGCUCUGAAAGGCUUUGUGUGGGGAAUGCGUGUUGUUUGUCGGCCUGACAUCCCUUCCCUCUUCUGGAAGCAGCAUUCUUCUUCUCUGUGGGAGAACCUGCCCGGUGUAGUUUGGGUGGGUUUGAUCAUACCCACCUCCCGGAGAAUUCCAUGCCCUUGACAUGAUGGAUGGUUUAGAAUUGGGCCCAUGAGCCAUUCAAAAAUUCCUCCUUGAGCCUUUUCCGCCAAAGAGGUUUGGAAAGAUGCUCUCCCGCCUGAGGAUGCUAAGCUGGUAAAAUGAAAGUCUGGGCUCUCAGUCAUCAUUACGAUCUCCAUGAGAGAAGGCCUAUUUAAGGAAAAGGGAGUGUGCCUUGAUGAUGUUUGAGCUCCUGGAUCAAGCUAUGCCUGAAGCCAACUACUUGAGGACAACUUCUCUAAAAAGAUCAUGAGAAAUGGUCCUUAGAAAGGUGUGUCCGGGAGGCCCGGAGGAAGAACACGCUUGAUGGUGCCAGCUCACUGACCUUCCUUUCUUUCACUCUGUGGCAAGUCCACGUAAAUAGAACACCUAUUUUUCCUUUCA